rnacentral:tRNA from 1 species
UCCCUGUUAGCUCAGCUGGUAAAGAAUCUGCCUGCAAUGCAGGAGACCCUGGUUUGAUUCCUGGGCUGGGAA